rnacentral:rRNA from 1 species
GGACCGUGUACAAGUCUCCUGGAAGGGAGCAUCGUAGAGGGUGACAAUCCCGUCUCUGACACGGACCGCCGGCGCUGUGCGAUGCGCUCUCGACGAGUCGAGUUGUUUGGGAAUGCAGCUCAAAUCGGGUGGUAAACUCCAUCUAAAGCUAAAUACGGGCGAGAGACCGAUAGCGAACAAGUACCGUGAGGGAAAGAUGAAAAGAACUUUGGAAAGAGAGUUAAACAGUACGUGAAAUUGCUGGAAGGGAAACGCUUGACGUCAGUCGCGUCGUCCGGGGAUCAACCCUGCCUCUGGCUGGGCGUAUUUCCCGGUCGACGGGUCAGCAUCGAUUUCGAUCGUCGUAGAAGGACGGGAGCGAACGUGGCACUCCACGGAGUGUGUUAUAGCCUUCCGUAUGGAUGCGACGGUCGGGAUCGAGGAACUCGGCACGGCCCCUCGAGGGUUCGGGACUUCGGUCCACGCAGCGUGCCCAGGAUGCUGGCGUAAUGGCUUUAAGCGACCCGUCUUGAAACACGGACCAAGGAGUCUAACGUGCCUGCGAGUGUUUGGGUGAAAAACCCGAGCGCGCAACGAAAGUGAAAGUCGAGACCUCCGUCGCGGAGGGCACCGACGCCCGGACCGGAGCCUUUGGCGAUGGAUCUGCGGUAGAGCAUGUAUGUUGGGACCCGAAAGAUGGUGAA